AUUGAACGCUGGCGGCAGGCUUAACACAUGCAAGUCGAGCGGGGGAAGGUAGCUUGCUACCGGACCUAGCGGCGGACAGGUGAGUAAUGCUUAGGAAUCUGCCUAUUAGUGGGGGACAACAUCUCGAAAGGGAUGCUAAUACCGCAUACGUCCUACGGGAGAAAGCAGGGGAUCUUCGGACCUUGCGCUAAUAGAUGAGCCUAAGUCGGAUUAGCUAGUUGGUGGGGUAAAGGCCUACCAAGGCGACGAUCUGUAGCGGGUCUGAGAGGAAGAUCCGCCACACUGGGACUGAGACACGGCCCAGACUCCUACGGGAGGCAGCAGUGAGGAAUAUUGGACAAUGGGGGGAACCCUGAUCUAGCCAUGCGGCGUGUGUGAAGAAGGCCUUAUGGUUGUAAAGCACUUUAAGCGAGGAGGAGGCUACUUUAGUUAAUACCUAGAGAUAGUGGACGUUACUCGCAGAAUAAGCACCGGCUAACUCUGUGCCAGCCGCCGCCGUAA
rnacentral:rRNA from 1 species